rnacentral:misc_RNA from 1 species
GAUGAAGAACGUAGCGAAAUGCGAUACUUGGUGUGAAUUGCAGAAUCCCGUGAACCAUCGAGUCUUUGAACGCAAGUUGCGCCCGAAGCCACUAGGCCGAGGGCACGCCUGCCUGGGCGUCACACGCCGUUGCCCCCCCAUCUACUCCUUCGGGAUUGCGGGGGGGCGGAUGAUGGCCUCCUGUGCGCCUAGCCGCGCGGUUGGCAUAAAUACCAAGUCCUCGGCGACGCACGCCACGACAAUCGGUGGUUGCGAAACCUCGGUGGCCCGUCGUGUGCGUUCGUCGCGCAUCGAGGGCUCGAAAAAAUGCUCGGCUCCGGCUGGGCUUUCAACGCGACCCCAGGUCAGGCGGGGUUACCCGCUGAAUUUAAGCAUAUCAAUAAGCGAGGA